GACGGUUUGUGGGGACGGACACGGGUGGCGGCGGCGAUGAAGAAGGAGCAGGUUGUCCGCUGCCAGCUCUCCGUCUGGUACCCGCUCUUCAGGCAGCACACCAUCCGCAGCAUCGUUCUUCCACUCCCGCAAAAUGUUAUCGAUUACUUAUUGGACGAUGGGACUCUGGUAGUUUCUGGAAGAAAUGAAGUCCCAAGUUGUUCACGUACAAAUGAAGACAGUGAUGAGGAACAGGAUGUGCAGUGGUCAGAUGAUGAGAACGUGAUUACUCUCACAGCUCCAGAAUUCCCAGAUUUUGCAGCACAAGUACAGGAAGCUAUAAAUUCUCUUGGAGGCAGCGUUUUUCCAAAGCUAAAUUGGAGCUCUCCAAGGGAUGCUCAGUGGAUUGCAAUGAAUGGCUCUCUCAAGUGCAAUAAUCUAAGUGACAUCUUCCUGCUCUUGAAAAGUUCUGACUUCGUCACGCAUGACUUGACGCAGCCAUUUCUUCACUGUACUGAUGAUUCGCCAGACCCCAAAAUAGACACCCAGCUUGUUCUUAGGAAAUGGUGUGAGUUGAUUCCUGGAGGGGAGUUCAGAUGUUUUGUCAAAGAAAAUAAACUAAUAGGGAUCGCACAGAGAGAUCAUACACAAUAUUACGACCAUGUAUGCAGCCAAGAAGCCAAUAUUCUUAGUUCCAUUAUUGAUUUCUUUAAAGAUAAAGUACAAUACAAGUUUCCAGAUGAGGACUUUGUGUUUGAUGUAUACAGAGACAGUCAGGGCAAGGUGUGGAUCAUAGAUUUUAACCCAUUUGGAGAGGUGACCAACUCCUUGCUUUUCAGCUGGGACGAGCUGACUUCUGGACACAACAUCAGUGAGGGAGCCCUUGCUGACUCGGAUUCUCCAGUCUUCCGCUACAUCACAAGUGAAAUGACUGUGCAGCCCAGCCCCUACUUAAGUUAUCGGUUGCCCAAGGACUUUGUGGACUUGUCAAGAGGCGAAGAUGCUCAUAAACUAAUUGAUUUUCUUAAACUGUAACAACGUUCCACUUGGACCUUAAAUGUUCUCCAGAAAGUGACUCCUGUGCUGGAAUCUUGCCUCCUGAGUAGAGACAAAGAUGAACUGAAAUGUUUCUCAGUCAGACAAGAAAUCAAGCACCAGACAGCUCUGAUGAGGAGGGAUAACAGCCCUCCUCUAAACUCCCAAGUCUUCCUGGGAUAAAUAUAAAACAAGUAAAAGGCCUGAAUUGACUUUGAAUCGAGGUCUAUGUGAGUUCCUUGAUGCUCACUUUUGCAAAGCUUGAUAUCAAUUAACUAAGUUUGGAAAAAGUUGCCUCAUUUUAUCAAAAAAGAGACUGAUGUAGCAUUGUUGUAAAGAUUACAAAGCAAAUCGAGCAGCAUGUGGAAUAUUUCUGAAAGAUAACCAUGUGUUAUUGGAAAGGUCAGUGUAUCUAUGAGUGUGAUAAAUUUCUGUAAAAUUAAAUUUUUAUAAAUUGGAAGUGAA